GAUGAACGCUGGCGGCGUGCCUAAUACAUGCAAGUCGAGCGAACAGACGAGGAGCUUGCUCCUCUGACGUUAGCGGCGGACGGGUGAGUAACACGUGGAUAACCUACCUAUAAGACUGGGAUAACUUCGGGAAACCGGCGCUAAUACCGUAUAAUAUAUUGAACCGCAUGGUUCAAUAGUGAAAGACGGUUUUGCUGUCACUUAUAGAUGGAUCCGCGCCGCAUUAGCUAGUUGGUAAGGUAACGGCUUACCAAGGCAACGAUGCGUAGCCGACCUGAGAGGGUGAUAGGCCACACUGGAACUGAGACACGGUCAAGACGCCUACGGGAGGCAGCAGAAGGGAAUCGUCCGCAAUGGGCGAAAGCCUGACGGAGCAACGCGGCGUGAGUGAUGAAGAUCUUCGGAUCGUAAAACUCUGUUAUUAGGGAAGAACAAAUGUGUAAGUAACUAUGCACGUAUUGACGGUACCUAAUCAGAAAGCCACGGCUAACUACGUG
rnacentral:rRNA from 1 species